rnacentral:tRNA from 1 species
AAAUUUUUAUAGUUGAAUAACAACGAUGAUUUUUCAUGUCAUUGGUCAUGGUUUAACCCCAUGUGAAAAUA